GCAUGACAUAUUCGACAUCUAAAGAUUGAGGAUUGCCCUAAUCUCCAAUCUCUUCCCGAAUCGGGGAUGCCCACUUCCAUCUCUAAACUAAAUAUUUGCAAUUGCCCAUUGCUCAAACCACUCCUAGAAUUUAACAAGGGGGAUUACUGGCCAAAAAUUGCUCAUAUUCCCACCAUAUAUAUUGAUGGAGAAUACCAGUAAUGAUUAAAAAAAAUGGUGCUCUGACAAAUUCACAAAGCGUCUAUUGCCACUGUGAAGCUGAGGAAUCAUCUUUGGAUCGGGAUGAAUUUACUUUUAGAUGACAGCAAAAAAGUGAGUUAGUUGAUCAAAGGACUAAGGAGAAUGGAGGUUUAGAGUAAUGAACAUGCUCACUCGUAAAUGCAUAGCUCUAAUAGAAUUCAGAGUACUGUUGAACAGUGUGGAUCAUCUAUUGCGACCGUGUGGAGCGAAGAAUUUUCAUUCUAAUUUUAGAUGACAAAAAGGUGAUAUGUUGCAACUAAUGUAAUCUUUACACUUGCUCUGAGUCAUUGUAAAAGAAACCGAGUGUAGGUUAGAAUUGAUAAUUUGCUCUAGAAGGUUGAUAGCACAAAGUAAUGCUAAUGUACUACAAAUAUUUUACCAUUUACGUUGGUAGAUAUGUCAGCCGGGUGUGCAUAGUAUUUGGAUCUUUAUCACAAUAGCUAAAACAUCACUUUUGUCAGUAUUUCGAUUUUUAGCACAAUGGUUAAAACAUCAGUUUCUUGU